rnacentral:rRNA from 1 species
UACAGAGGUCUCAAGCGUUGUUCGGAUUCAUUGGGCGUAAAGGGUGCGUAGGCGGCGGGGCAAGUCUGGUGUGAAAUCCCGGGGCUCAACCUCGGAACUGCACUGGAUACUGCCUUGCUAGAGAUCUGGAGAGGAAACUGGAAUUUACGGUGUAGCAGUGAAAUGCGUAGAUAUCGUAAGGAAGACCAGUGGCGAAGGCGGCUCACUGGCCCGGUACUGACGCUGAGGUGCGAAAGCGUGGGGAGCAAACAGG